rnacentral:lncRNA from 1 species
UAGUCCCCAGUGGGUACCGCCCUCAAACUCAUCGGUCCACCUGCUAAGUCUACAGGGAUAAGCAGGAAUAGUAAAGAGUGCUGGAAUAAAUCUACAGCUAUAUGCCACUAUACUAUCAUGCCCUAAAUCUAACCAUCUGUAGAACAGUGUCAACUCAAACCGAAUCUCAAGUAAGGACUAUAAUCAUACCCGUCCAUGGGACUGUGAACACACCCGUCCCACCCGGUCGCGACUAUACAGCUACCUCCACACUAACCAGUCCGUGGAGAACAAGUCCAACCUGCACGAACGACAUCAACGCAAAAACACUAAGCCCAACUCCGGAGUGGUACUCGUGGGCGCUACCCAACCGAGUAUGCAAGCGUAUCUCUGUCGAGCUCAAUUAGGCUCUAAUAAGCCAAAGAGACAAGUAGCUAGGGUCAAAACAGGUCUAGAAACCGAACCCACGUACCCUCGGCACAAUCUAAUACCAAAAAUAGGAAUCUGGGUCCUCCGUCCACCCCGACGGCACCUGACAACCCGAAACAGCCUAGACUCUACUGUAAAAAUAAGCUCGGCGUCCCAGUACGAGCGUAAAUGCAUUCUAAACUACCCCGGAUAUCCACCGCGCUGAAACAGCAGUGAUACGAUCAAAUCACGGCUCUCAGAGCUAAAUCAGAUAGUAGAAUCAUAUGACGGGUUAAAACGCGGGUUUUCUCCUAAGUCAAAAUCCAAGUCCAAUAUGUAUAUUUAUCGAAUUAAGAAUCAUGCUCAAAAUUCAGAUUUCAUAUCUUAUACUAAUCGAUGAAUUUGAGCUACAACAUGCUAUAUCGAAGUCGAACUAUACAUGUUUACUAUACACAUGCUUAGGAGCAAAACCGAUAAGAAACCCACCUCAAGAGCUAAUCCCUGGUAGCAAAGAACUCUCUCUCAGCUGCGGAAAACCUGCUAGAUCAACCGAAACACCUUCAAGUCCAGUAAUAAAGCUACAUCAAGGUUCAAGCACCAAAAUCCAUGAAUUUACCAAAAUUUCAGCACUUAAGCCUAAAUAUCUCAACUCCAAUGUCAAAACUCACCUAAUAAUCUCCAACUCAGGUGAGACAAGUUCCAAAUCUAGUACUGGUUGAUAGGGAAUGUGUCUCAACUCUACAAAGCCCUUGCUUCAAAAGUUCACCCAAGGAAAAGCUCAAAAACUUGCAAUUCUGUUCAAAGCAACAGCAGCAGAGGAAAACCUGAGUUCGACUGAGCUAACCUUCACCAAAUUCUGCAAUUUAGGGCUUCGUGGAUUCCUCAGGAAGUCUAGAAUCCAACAAACCAAGUUUCACCGCGAUCCGACCUUCCUACGUCGCGUACGAGCCAAAACACUAGAGGUCAUCACUGAAGAACUACAGAAUCAGCACCUAUCAAGCUUGGAGUUGUAGAUUUUGAAGCAAUUUGAGUGAUUUGGAGGGGUUGGAAUGCAAAGUAGAGGAUCACUGUGAAGAAGAGAGGAAAAGAGCACCAGGGACGCUCCUCAGCUAUUUAUAGGGUGAACAUAGGGUCAGAUGAACCUCAGGAACAAAAGCUGCAAUUCUGUUACACCAGCAGAAUUGGCCACUUUCGGGCGCCCGAAACCCAUUUCUGGGCGUCUGAAACCUCUAGGCUGCUCAUUUGCUCCCCUUUGGUUCCAUCGCCCGCUGUGUGCUGCGCCCGUAAACGGCUCCGGCGGAUCUCACCUACCACUAGCCACGUGUCAACACAAGCGAUAUUUACGAGGUGUAAUUUUCGGACCCACUUCCGGGCGCCCGAAAUAUGGACCCGAAUUCGCUUCCAGUUCUGAUCAAAUCUACACUCAACUUCUAGGCGACCCAAGACCAGUUCUAGGCGCCCGAAUCUGGCAAAACUCCAGUUUUGCUUAUUUGAGUGCGCCGAGUUCAUUUCUGCAUCCAAUUCGUAUAGAAACGACUCCGACUCAGUCUGACACUCUCCAGAUGUGUCGACCAGUCACUAAUACCGAAGCCAAUUCUAUCCAAAGCUCAGAAAUACUACAGAUUUCAUGAUAACUAUAGAGCUUUUUUGAUGCAUUAAGGGCUUGAGAACAUUGUAAUAUACCGAACUUUAGUCAAAUUGACCGAAGUGCAGAGUGGGAUAAGUUAGGGAGGUCCGUUGUUCAUUCCGAACAUUUUGGAGUGUGUACCCAUUGUUUUCAAGCUUUAAUUCAUCUCUCAAGUCAGGUUGGUUUUUGAUAUCGCUUCCUGCCUCCUUUCCUUUGUUACUUCCUUGCCCUGUUUUAUUUCUCGAAGUCUGGUUGUACAUGUAAAUCACUGCCAAGUCAUAUAUUUACAUCUAUAGCCAACAUUCCGUAUUCUUAUGUACUCCAACUAAUAUGUUACUGUCCGUUCAUUUUGUUCAUUGUUAUUUGUUUACCUUCUCAGCAACUGAAACUUGUAAUGGAUUCUAUAAAUUGGGCUUUUCGGCACACUGAGAGGAACAUUGCUGAGACUGGUCUUAAUCUUUUGUUGGAAAUGAUGAAGAAUUUUCAGGUUCGACUUCUACCCAAUCCUUGAAUCCUCAAUUAGCCAUUAUAAUUUGUGCGCAAUAAUCGUAACUGUUUACCGUGAUCAAAUUUCAGAUGUCAGAAUUCUGUAAUCAAUUCUAUAGAACAUAUUAUAUGAACAUCGAGCAAAAGAUCUUUGCCGUCCUAACAGAUACAUUUCACAAGCCGGGUUUCAAGCUCCAUGUUUUGGUGCUACAGCAUUUGUUUUGUCUGCUACUUCUAAAAAUACACUAUUUCCACCUAGUUUGUUAGAAAUUAUCGCUUGCCACCCAGUGUGCCACACCAUAACCGUGCAUUUCCCAGUGGUUCGUCUUCCCUAGAUGGAAUGGAGGGCAAAUCGCUCGGUGGUGCAUGAACAUCAUGCGCAUUUGGUGCUGGUAAUAAAUUCUUCUCAUUUGCUUUUAUUAUUCCUUGAUGAAUGUUAUGGUGGUUUACAUGCAGGUUGACUCUGGUUCAUUAAUUGAGCCGCUAUGGGAUGCGUCAACGGUACCUUAUCCCUAUCCCAACAAUAUGAUGUUUGUUCGUGAUUACACCAUAAAGCUUUUGGGAACAUCGUUUCCAAAUAUGACGGUAGCUGAGGUAGUAUACCCCACAUUCUCAGCACAUUUUCCUUGGCCCAGAAAACACUCUUUUCUUUCGUUUGCACAAGGGUGUAUGGACCUUGGAGAGCAAGCUGGGAAGUUUUCAGCUCAAUUCGUGUUAGAAAUGUCUCGGGGUCCGGACCCUGAGUGCAAGCUCCGGACCCCGUACCCGCAAUUUCGUGGGUUUGUUCUGUACAGUGAUUUGGAGAGGGGCUUAUGUGCAAUUGUGCAUGAGGAUGCUAUUUGAAGGUUCUACACCCUUCCUCCUCUUCAUUUCUCAUUGGUGAACAAAGAGAAAAGCUCUCUUUUUCUCUCUCUAAGAUUCUCCUCUCUCUCCCUUUCUCUCCUUCUCUCACUAGGGUUGCUCCAAGAGGGGGCUUGGUGGAGAAGAAGGCUUGUUGGAGGGUAGAGUUAGCACUUGUGCAACAAGUGAAGGAAGAAGCUAGAACUCAAGAUGAGUUCUUGUGAUGUUAGGCUAGCGUUUUGAGUUAAUUACUUCUAGUAAUUAUAUCUAGAAGCUUGUAUGCUAGAUUAAUGUGUUAAUCUCCAUGUUUUAUGAGGUCUAUAUGGAUUGUUGGAAACCCUAGGGGUCAAAUUGGGAUUUUGCUAAGUUGGGGAUCUAACUAGGGUUUGAUCUCUUGUAGCCCUAAUUGACGAGUAAUCUGACGCGUUGGGAAACUCGGAUCGAGAUUCCAGCGAGUCUAUGCCAAGAUAUUGAGGAAAAACCCCAUUUGGGCUUCGUUUGCCAUGGUCGAGGGGAAUAGGCGAUCAUGAAUCACAAGAUCUUGGGAUUGCACCCCAUUUGGGCUUCUCCAAGUGCAUGAACCACUUCUCCACGAUCCAGUGGUCGACUUUCUCUACGUCAAAGAUCCUGGGAUUGCACCUCCUAAACUCAUUGAGGCGAUCCAUGAGUCGGUCAUGCUCUGCUCUCUCAACUAAUGCAGGAAAAACUGCCCCCGCCGGAGGCACCUGAACUGGUGGUGCCGCGACCAUCUCCUCCCGAGGCGCAUCCGCGGGUGCCAUCAGCGAAGUGUCGAGUGCAGGGGACGACACCCUGGGUGCAACCACCUCCACCGGCGCGGGUGGUGUAGGAACCUGAGCCUCCCUAACCGUCGCCUGCUGCAGUAGUAGGCCUUCCAAGCGCUUUAUCCGCGCCUCCUGCCGGCGCGCCGUAUCCGCCUGCUGCUGGGCCGCCGCCGCCUGCUUAGCGACCAAGUCGGUGAGGGCCGCAAGCUGGCUCCUCAACUCACGGACCUCGCUGGAUCUGGAGGUAGCGAAGGUCUCCACCUCCUCAAGAUUUGCCGCAUUGUCCGCUCAAACAGACUUAGAGCGAGUAAUCGGCAUCGUCACUACAACAUCAUAAAAGCACAAGUUAGCAAAAACCCACGUUAUUGCAAGCUCGACAGAUAAUUUUCAAAUCAUGCGAAAGUAAGAAAGUGUCCUUCACUCCUAACUCCCGAUGUUACGUUGGCCGCCAACGUAACCCUCCGCGAAGUUAAGAGCUAUACACUUCGAUUAAACUCCAACUUUUUGGAGUUAUUAUAAAACCCAAUCAUAAUACUGUCGCUCAUAAGUCAAAUAGACCUCGUCUCUCACGAGCCUAUUUCCUAUAAUCCAACCGGCCUAAGGUUUGCUAGGUCCACUAAGAUUCAACCCUAGGCUCUGAUACCAACUUAAUCUGUCACGCCCCGGGACCCAGCGGAAGCACGCCCGGUGCGUGUCCUGACCCGCCAUACGUCUGCAACAUAUAAGGCGUCUACAACAAAACGAUAAAUAAAGUAAUAAUAUACAAAGAUCUAGAGAUAUCAGAGCAUACAACAUCUGUCACGCCCCCGCCCCGAGUCCGCUACCGAUUUGGUCCGGUUCGGGCGCGGCGAACGGACCGCCGAACGGACAGCAACUCCCUUGUCCACCCAAGGCUUAAACGACGAGAUUAUGUACACAAGUUUCCAAGAAAUACACUUGAUUACAUACAUGAUCUAACAACAACGACGAAGCACAAACAGUGCUUAUCAACCAAGAGCAAGCAACACAAGUAAAGCAUACAAGUGAUAAAAGAGAGUGUACUUAACUAUUACACUCAUUUAACUUUAUACAAUUAUUUCAUCUUUUACGGUUUUCCAAAACAUAUGUGCAAUCACCCUCAAAACCUCACCCUAUACAUCAUCUACUCUCAAUAUAAGUACAGGGUAGAGCUAAUGCAAAAGGAAGUAAAACUCUACUAAUACCACUAGGGCGCCACGCCCUUGCCGCGAUCCUCACCGGGGUUACUCGAACUCGGACCUGCAACAAAGUGGGAUGAGAACUACGAAUAGUUCCCAGUGGGUUUAGCCGCCGACUUCGCCGAUCUCCCCACUAGGUCUAAGCAGGCACAGAUAGAUAUGCAAAUAGAUAGAUAUUUUUCUGAAUUGANGACUCCGCCGAUCUCCCCACUAGGUCUAAGCAGGCACAGAUAGAUAUGCAAAUAGAUAGAUAUUUUUCUGAAUUGAAAGCAUCUAUAAUAAACAGUCAAGUAUAUAAAAUGAACAUCUAACUAUGCCUCGAUCUGAAAUGAUGCAUGCAUGUGUCAUAUGGCAAGGCUAAGUAACCAACUACUAUGCACAACAAUAAUGUGACUCGUUCGGUUACCCAAUCUCUCAGCGAACUUAAGGUUCGCUCACAGUCUCACGUGUGUAAGUCUCAUAGGGGAGGAGACUAGCUACUCAACUACUCUCGAGACCGCCUGCGGACAGCUACAAUGGUCCAAGGGCAACUACAUUGGCCCCCCCUUCGCGUGACAACCUCCGGAGUGCACUACCUGUGUGGAGCGACCACCACAGGCGCAGACAGGCUAUGUGAGCUCGAUCCAAUCUCAUGAACUAGGAACACCCUACCAACUAGGGUUAGUCUCAACAUAGAAUCGAAGUAUUCUAGUUCUCGAUCUCAUAGUGUUCGACUACACUAAAGUUUUCACAUUUCAUAUCAACUAGAUGCCACUCGUUCUGUGUUCAUUGUUAUCUAGAUGCCACUCGCUCUCAAUACGCUAGUUUGCAAUAUACUAGGUUCAUAUUCACAUAACAUGUUCAUCACAUAUAAGGUUAACUAUCUCAUGUCCAACUCAUGCAUACUAGGUUCUCAUUCAUUAUAUCCGCAACCCAACUAACACUAGCAUGCAUUAAUAUGUAACAAUUACAUUUACACCCUAUGAUGCUAUAUUACAAUAUGCAGUUGAUCAACACGAUGACUUAGACAUAGGGAGCAGUUCAACUGCUUCGGGAUGGCACUCCCUCACCUUUUGGUAGUGCUGCAUGGCUAGAAAACUCGGCGUCACGAUCCUUGUACGUCGCUUCCACUCCUCGGGGCAAAACGAACCUUCAAGUACCUGUUUCGGCGAUAUCUUCGCACUCGCUCGUCGGAUCGACGAACCGUCUUCGCCUACGCGUUCAAAGACCUAGCAAUUAGGUUAACAACCCAUUAAACAAGAUCAAAACCCUACAUUUCCAAAAAUCCCAAAUCUGUGCCCUAGGUUAGCAACAAUGGAGGAAUCCGUGGUGCAAGCUUCAAAUUCGAGCUCGAACCAUCUCCUUAACCUCAAUAGGUUCCGUUCGAUCCAUUUCUAAGCAAUAAAACCCUAACCCAAGAAAUCCACCAUGGUAGGGUUGAGGCUUACCUCAAUACCAAGCUCCAAGCUUGAGAGAGGGAGAGAAGAAGAUGACCUUCUUCUUCUUUUUAGUCUUCUUCUUCCUUUUUCUCUUCUUUUCCUUCUUCUUCUUCCUCUCCUUCUUCUUCUCCUUCUUUUCUUUCUAGAGAGAGAGAGGGAAAGAGUGUGAGAGAGAGAGAGCAAAUGAGAGGGAUGGGAGAGAAGAGUGGUCCCCAAGCCUCUCAUAUAAGGCAUUUUGCAAAUAAGCCCCUCAGCUUUUUAUUCUCUAAAAUAGCCCUCACUGGGCAUUUUCGCAGCGAGGGACCGGUCCUUGGUCGGGGAGACCGGUCCCUGAGAGCUUCCCAUUCGGGCAGAAGGGAUUUCGUGUUCGGGAACCGGUCCCUACCUGAGAGACCGGUCCCCGGGAGACCGGUCCUUGUCUGAGAGAUCGGUUCCCGAGAGUUGGAUUUUCUGGCACGAUCCUGCGCCAGCUGUGCACGCUUCGGCAACGACGGUCGGCCUCGGCGACGAUACAUAGCUGCAAAGAAUAAAACAAAGUCAGAUAACCACAAACACUCUCGACCCAAUCAACGAAAAUCCAGAAGGCGGCACCUAUUUCUCCUCAAAAUUAUGUCGUCUGCAGCCAACAUAAUUUUGCAGGCCAAAACAAGCACUCCUCCAAUCACUCACUCCACUCUAGGAGAAGUUAGGACAACUAAUCAUUGACUUUCGCAGUAAUUCAUGCCUCUCUCGUAUUGUCUUCCUAAGGUUUGCCAAACUUAGGUUUCCUAGGUCCCAAUGACCUAAUGCUAGGCUCUGAUACCAACUUAAUCUGUCACGCCCCGGAUUAACACGUUCCCCGGGCACGCCGACAAAUCCGCCGUAUAUAAAGAAUUUUUCAUGUAUACGAAGCGUAGCUGGAACUGUAAUACAUACAAUACUACAACCAGUAGUAUAGAGCUGUAAAGAAACUAAACAUGUAGAACAAAAUAAGUCUCAUAUACAUACAAGAAAACUCUGUACAAAAGUACUCGCUCCAGCGAGUUAUACAUCAGUACGUACAUGAACUCAAAAAAAAAAAUAAAAGUACAACUACCUGCAGCAAGUACUCCUCUAUCACAGCGACUCAUCUGGUAGGGCUCUAACUCGCGACGCCCUUGCCACGGUCAGAAUCGACAACAGCAGCAGCAGCCGAAGACGAUGGCUCUGCAAAACAGUGGUAACAACUGGGCGUGAGAACUACUGUAAAAAUAAGUAGUCCUCAGUGGGUAUCGCCCUCAACAUAAUCGGUCCACCCACUAAGUCUAUAGAAAGAAACAGAGCUAGUAGGAAAAAGCUGGAAAGCAAUCUACAGCUACAUAUUGCUACACUAGCAUGCUCUACACUAACCAAGUAAAAGUCACUCACUAUCUCAUCUGGGCUGCCCAAACGGCCCCACCCUGCCUGUAUCUCACUACGCCGUACACCACCCCGG